rnacentral:rRNA from 1 species
UACAGAGGCGGCGAGCGUUGUUCGGAUUUACUGGGCGUAAAGGGUGCGUAGGCGGUUCCGCGUGUCGAAUGUGAAAUCUCACAGCUUAACUGUGGAACUGCAUUCGAAACUGCGGGGCUGGAGUUCAGGAGAGGAGAGCGGAAUUCUCGGUGUAGCGGUGAAAUGCGUAGAUAUCGAGAGGAACACCGGUGGCGAAGGCGGCUCUCUGGACUGAUACUGACGCUGAGGCACUAAAGCUAGGGGAGCAAACAGGAUUAGAUGCCCUGGUAGUCCUAGCCUUAAACGGUGUACACUUGGUGUGGGGGGAAUUGUCCCCCUCCGCGCCGGAGCUAACGCGUUAAGUGUACCGCCUGGGGAGUACGGUCGCAAGAUUAAA